rnacentral:rRNA from 1 species
AGUUUGAUCCUGGCUCAAGAUGAACGCUGGCGGCGUGCCUAACACAUGCAAGUCGAACGAAGCGUGCGGAUGGAAUUUCUUCGGAGAGGAAGCCUGCAUGACUGAGUGGCGGACGGGUGAGUAACGCGUGGGCAACCUGCCCUGCACAGGGGGACAACAGCCGGAAACGGCUGCUAAUACCGCAUAAGCGCACAGCUUCGCAUGGAGCGGUGUGAAAAGCUGCGGCGGUGCAGGAUGGGCCCGCGUCUGAUUAGCUGGUUGGCGGGGCAACGGCCCACCAAGGCGACGAUCAGUAGCCGGCCUGAGAGGGUGGACGGCCACAUUGGGACUGAGACACGGCCCAGACUCCUACGGGAGGCAGCAGUGGGGAAUAUUGCACAAUGGGGGAAACCCUGAUGCAGCGACGCCGCGUGAGCGAAGAAGUAUUUCGGUAUGUAAAGCUCUAUCAGCAGGGAAGAAAUUGACGGUACCUGAGUAAGAAGCUCCGGCUAAAUACGUGCCAGCAGCCGCGGUAAUACGUAUGGAGCAAGCGUUAUCCGGAUUUACUGGGUGUAAAGGGAGCGUANGCGGCCUGUCAAGUCUGAUGUGAAAUACCGGGGC